rnacentral:rRNA from 1 species
AAUAUUGCACAAUGGGCGAAAGCCUGAUGCAGCAACGCCGCGUGGAGGAUGAAGGCCUUCGGGUUGUAAACUCUUGUCUUCUGGGACGAUAAUGACGGUACCAGAGGAGGAAGCCACGGCUAACUACGUGCCAGCAGCCGCGGUAAUACGUAGGUUGCAAGCGUUGUCCGGAUUUACUGGGCGUAAAGGAUGCGUAGGCGGAUAUUUAAGUGGGAUGUGAAAUACCCGGGCUCAACCUGGGUGCUGCAUUCCAAACUGGAUAUCUGGAGUGCGGGAGAGGAGAGUGGAAUUCCUAGUGUAGCGGUGAAAUGCGUAGAGAUUAGGAAGAACACCAGUGGCGAAGGCGACUCUCUGGACCGUAACUGACGCUGAGGCAUGAAAGCGUGGGGAGCAAACAGG